rnacentral:tRNA from 1 species
CGGGUGUAGCUCAGUUGGUCAGAGCGCCAGAUUGUGGCUCUGGAAGUCGUCGGUUCAACUCCGAUCAC